rnacentral:rRNA from 1 species
CCUACGGGAGGCAGCAGUGAGGAAUAUUGGUCAAUGGGCGCGAGCCUGAACCAGCCAAGUAGCGUGAAGGAUGACUGCCCUACGGGUUGUAAACUUCUUUUAUAAAGGAAUAAAGUGAGGCACGUGUGCCUUUUUGUAUGUAUUUUAUGAAUAAGCAUCGGCUAACUCCGUGCCAGCAGCCGCGGUAAUACGGAGGAUCCGAGCGUUAUCCGGAUUUAUUGGGUUUAAAGGGAGCGUAAAUGGGUUGUUAAGUCAGGUGUGGAAGUUUGCGGGUCAACCGUAAAAUUGCAAUUGAUACUGGCAGCCUUGAGUGCAGUUGAGGUAGGCGGAAUUCGUGGUGUAGCGGUGAAAUGCAUAGAUAUCACGAAGAACUCCGAUUGCGAAGGCAGCCUACUAGACUGCCACUGACAUUGAUGCUCGAAAGUGUGGGUAUCAAACAGGAUUAGAUACCCCGGUAGUC